CAGGAAGAGUUUUCGCCGUACCACACAGCUCGCAACAUAAUCAUCGAUAACUAUCAACGUCUCAGGACUCUACAUAUCUCUAACAAGCAGUUAAGCAGGAAAAAUUUGUUGUGACCAAGCGUAUCCACCCUACUAAGGAUGCCCGAAUGGUUUUUGCGGGAAUCACCCAUGACCCAGACGUCGGUAUCGCUCCAGAGGACUAGAUCGGCUCAAUCUCCCCGACAGUGAACACUCACUAAAACAUUCAGAUAUGCUUUCUUCUUUUAUUACACAUAAAUAUAAUUAUUGAGUAACUCUAACAUUCCUUCAUUUCUUUUUCAAUCCCUCAUCAGGCAGGGAUCACCCUAGGAUCGUCGACUGCUUUUGAAAUGGUUAAAGCAAAUGUCCAGCAUUCCUUUACGGGCUACAACCCACCUCGGUAACCUGCCCCGCAAUGGGCGGUGCUUGUUGAGACUGCAAUACUGUUGGCGUACUCACAUACGCAGGUUCUCCUAACCCCGUGUAGCUCCAAGGGAUCAGAAGGGACGUGCAACAAAACGUGGAUAUGUAUUGUUUACCCUAUCAGGCU
ensembl:ncRNA lncRNA:CR45181 long non-coding RNA:CR45181